rnacentral:rRNA from 1 species
UACGGAGGGUGCAAGCGUUAUCCGGAAUCACUGGGUUUAAAGGGUGCGUAGGCGGCCUGGUAAGUCAGAGGUGAAAUCCUACAGCUUAACUGUAGAACUGUCUUUGAAACGGUCAGGCUCGAAUAGAGUUGAGGUUAGCGGAAUGUGACAUGUAGCGGUGAAAUGCAUAGAUAUGUCAUAGAACACCAAUUGCGAAGGCAGCUAACUGGGCUUUUAUUGACGCUGAGGCACGAAAGCGUGGGGAGCGAACAGG